UGGUGGAGCGAUUUGUCUGGUUAAUUCCGAUAACGAACGAGACUCUAACCUGCUAAGUAGUGAAGUUGCAAUGGUGCAAGAACUAACUUCUUAGAGGGGCAAGCAGCUCCCAGCUGCACGAGAAGGAGCAAUAACA
rnacentral:rRNA from 1 species